UGACGAUAGCUUGCUAUUGUUGAUGGCGACCGGCGCACGGGUGAGUAACGCGUAUCCAACCUUCCCUAUAGUAGAGGAUAGCCCGGCGAAAGUCGGAUUAAUACUCUAUGUUUUCCAAUGCAGACAUCUAAGUUGGAACAAAGGUUUACCGCUAUAGGAUGGGGAUGCGUCUGAUUAGAUUGUAGGCGGGGUAACGGCCCACCUAGUCGACGAUCAGUAGGGGUUCUGAGAGGAAGGUCCCCCCACAUUGGAACUGAGACACGGUCCAAACUCCUACGGGAGGCAGCAGUGAGGAAUAUUGGUCAAUGGGCGAGAGCCUGAACCAGCCCAAGUAGCGUGCAGGAUGACGGCCCUAUGGGUUGUAAACUGCUUUUACCGGGGGAUAAAGUGAGGGACGUGUCCCUUUUUGUAGGUACCCGAUGAAUAAGGACCGGCUAAUUCCGUGCCAGCCGCGGC
rnacentral:rRNA from 1 species